GAGUAACACGUGGGUAACCUGCCUGUAAGACUGGGAUAACUCCGGGAAACCGGAGCUAAUACCGGAUAGUUCCUUGAACCGCAUGGUUCAAGGAUGAAAGACGGUUUCGGCUGUCACUUACAGAUGGACCCGCGGCGCAUUAGCUAGUUGGUGAGGUAACGGCUCACCAAGGCGACGAUGCGUAGCCGACCUGAGAGGGUGAUCGGCCACACUGGGACUGAGACACGGCCCAGACUCCUACGGGAGGCAGCAGUAGGGAAUCUUCCGCAAUGGACGAAAGUCUGACGGAGCAACGCCGCGUGAGUGAUGAAGGUUUUCGGAUCGUAAAGCUCUGUUGUUAGGGAAGAACAAGUGCAAGAGUAACUGCUUGCACCUUGACGGUACCUAACCAGAAAGCCACGGCUAACUACGUGCCAGCAGCCGCGGUAAUACGUAGGUGGCAAGCGUUGUCCGGAAUUAUUGGGCGUAAAGGGCUCGCAGGCGGUUUCUUAAGUCUGAUGUGAAAGCCCCCGGCUCAACCGGGGAGGGUCAUUGGAAACUGGGAAACUUGAGUGCAGAAGAGGAGAGUGGAAUUCCACGUGUAGCGGUGAAAUGCGUAGAGAUGUGGAGGAACACCAGUGGCGAAGGCGACUCUCUGGUCUGUAACUGACGCUGAGGAGCG
rnacentral:rRNA from 1 species